CUGGCCUCGAACUCAGAAAUCUGCCUGCCUCUGCCUCCCAAGAGCUGGGAUUAAAGGUGUGUGCUGCCACCGCCUGGCAGCCCAUGAGGUUGUAAUCAUAAGGUUUUUAGGAUUUAUCAUUUUUUACAUUCUGCAUUUUAUUGGUCUUACCAUGUUACCUGUUUUAUCAGCUUCAGUGUUAUAUUUAUAGCAGUUUAAAGUUAUGUACCUCUAUGUCAGUGGUUCUCAAUCUUCCUGAUGCUGUGACCCUGUAAUAGAGCUCCUCUUGUUGUGGUGACCCCCAGCCAUAAAAUUAUUUUCACUGCUACUUCAUAACUGUAAUUUUGCUACUGUUAUGAAUCAUAAUGUAAACACCUGAUAUGAGGAUGGUUUUAGGUGACCCCUGUGAAAGAGUUAGGGGUUGAAACCCAGGUUGAGAACUGCUGUUCCAGGCAGAAAUAAAGUUUGCUAGAAUUGAAGAAAACUCGGAUUUUUCCUUCAACAUUUUAUAAGAAUUCUCAAGCAGUUUCAGGGGAGGAUUCAAGCAGCCAGCUCCUAGAUGCAGUGUCCACUUGAGGGUUACUCCUGUGAAAGGGAGAGGACAAGGCUUGGGUGACUAUCUCCCUCCCAAUUCACAAUGGGGGGGGGGGGGAUAGCUAGUCCAUUGGUACUUAGAAACAAUUGCUACUGAAUGAAUUGUUUCCAUUCCAGUUUAAAACUCUAGCAAGCAAAAGAUGUCCUGUGUAAAGCCCCUCAAUGACUGCUCACUACCUUAAAGCUAAGUACAGAUUCUUUAAAUGGCCCUAGAUGUCCUCACUGUCCUGGCUCCCUCCUGCCAUCACUGCACAGUGUCCUCUGUUCCCCUCUAGUACUGAGCUGCCUUCUGCUCCUAGCCAAGACCCAAUGUCACUUCAAAUGUCUGAGCUUGCUUUCUCUCCCCUGACCAGCUCUUACCUCUUGUCUCCACUGUCACUUCAUUAAGCCAUGCCUACCUCUCAGAUUAGGUGUCCCUUUUGUGUGCUCCCACAAUCAGGUCUUUGCCAUACUCUUAAUUUGCUGGCUUUCCUCUUCUGUUUGUGAAUUCCCUGAUCUUUCCCAGUUUUCAGAAUGUGUGGGAUACUGCUAGUCCCACAACUCAUUUCUCCUUUACUGAUAGAACCCCAGCUCUGUCUAUUGGGUGGGUGCCUAGCUUCCUUUGUAGCUGGGGAAGCAAUCAGUUCUGAAGUAGAAGCAUAAGCCUACAGGCAGAUUUCUGUCUUUUGUAGUGCUGAAGGUACUGAUUGCCCUGUUCUCAUUGCCUCCAUUUUCUUGUAGAUGUAACAUAUCUACAAAACAGACAGAAAUCAGCACAAUAGCAAUAUAAGUCAUUACUGCCAGUAAUUACAUUGAAUGUAAAUGGAUUAUAUUCUCCAAUGAAAAGACAGUGAAUGAAUGGAUUUUAAAAAAAAUCCAAGAUUCAAUUAUAACAUGUUGUAGCAGUUAUUAAAUUUUUUAAAAAAAGAUUUACCUUUCUAUUUUAUGUACAUGAGUACAAUGUUGCUCUCUGCAGACACACCAGAAGAGGGCAUCAAUUCCAUUAUAGAUCAUUGCGAGCCACCAUGUGGUUGCUGGGAAUUGAACUGAAGACCAUCUGGAAGAGCAGCCAGUGUUCUUAACUGCUGUUGCUGAAAGAACCUAGUGGGGAAACUCCCACUCAAUUUCUGUUUGGUGCGCACCCAAGAAUCACGAAUAGACGACCAUCUUGAUAUAAAAGCAUGAGGUAGUUUAAUGACAGAGCUCCGGGCGACUCAUAUCUCCCGCAGGAGACAGAGGUGUUGACCACAUGGUGGAGCCAUAAUGGUGGAGCUCUGGUUCGAAAGUAUCUCACACAGGAGACAGUGGUUUCCACCACAAGGCUUGGAAGCUAGGGGUUUUUAUAGAAAAGGGGUGGGGCUGGGGGAGGAAUUGGCGUGGUUUCACAUGAUUGUUCCAUUUAAACAUCAACAGACUGUCAGAAGGGCGGGAGAUAGGGAGGCACUAGGCCAGUCAGGACAUAUAACGACGGGCCUGCCCGGGCAUGUCCUGGCCUGUUCUGCUAUGUUCUCAGCCCCAGGUUUCAAAGCUCACAAACAACUCUUUGGGCUAUUUGACAUAAAUUACAUGAAUCACAUGUCUCAAGUUUUAUUUCCUUUCAUUGCCCCAUAGUUAACUUUUAAGGGCAUAUAAAGACUGGUAGUGAAAGGACAGAAGAAGGUAUUUCCCCCAAAUGGAAACCAAGAUAAGUGGUGCUGAAGUGUCUUGGAUAAAGUGACUUGAAAUUUAAAGUGGUGAAAGAGGCCAUAAAAGUCAUAAUGAGGGGAUCAGUAUGUCAAGAGGGUUCAAUAACUGUACCAUCACCAUGAAACACUUAAUUAUAUAAAACAAAUCUUCAUCAAAAGAUGUUGAGGGAGUUGAUAGAUUAAAAUACAGUAAUAGUAAGGUGCUGGGGUUGGUGGCACACAGCUGUCUAGAACCCCAGAGGUAUAGGCAGGAUGAUCAUGAGUUCCAGAGUAGCGCAGGCUACAGUGAGACCCUGUCUCAAAACAUCAACAACAACAAAAAUGCAAUGAUAACAAGAGAUUUCCAUAUACCAUUUUUGAUAUUGGACAGAUUGUCCAGACCAAAUCAAUAAAAGAACUCUAGACUUCACAAUUUUGACCAAAUUGACCUAACAAAAUACACAGAACAUUGUACAGUAUGCCCUGUAACAGACCACAAGACAAGUCUAGCAAUUAAAAAAGACUGAUAACCAUGCAAACAUCUUUUUAAAAAACAAAACAAAACAAAACAAAAAACCAAAACAUCACAACAUUGUAAAAGUAGAAAUCACUACCAGGAAGAAUUCUGGAAAUUUACAAAUACAGGACAAUGAGGCAACACAUGCCAUGAUGAAUCAAUGGAUAGCUUUACAAAAAACAAAACAAGGGCAGCAAAAACCAAAAGAGAAUACUCCAAAACUCGUAGGCAACAUGGCUUGCUGCUCUAAGAGUGAUGCUGAGUGAUGUGACUGGAGUGGAAAGGGUUGAGCCAAGCACAUGCUAACAGCAGGACAGGGAAUGACAGGAACCAGGACAGAAAUAGAUGGAAACCACUCAACAAGCAAAACAAAGUCUGUGUUUGAAAAGACUGAAGAGUAAAUCAUGCUUUGUCUAAACUGAACACAAAAACUGAGGUCUGUUGUGAGUUUACAAACCGAAGUGGAGGCAUCACAGCAGCUACCACAGAAACGCAAAGCAUUGUACAGUGUUACUCUGAACAAUCAAUCGUAUGCCCCAAAUAGAACCUAGGAGGAAUUUCCAGACAUGUGUACCCACUGACACUGAAUGAUAAAUAGGACAUCUGUACAGUUAAAUUAAAAAAAAAAAAAAAGAAUCUAGAGAUUAGUUCAGGAAUAAAAAGCAAAAUCCCAGCCCUGAUGGCCCUACCACUAAGUUACAUCAAACCAGCCUGGUCUAUAUAGUAAACUAGUGUGGUCUACACAGUGAAGUCCAAGCCAUCUGGGGACUGCAUAGUCAGACCAUGCAUUUAAAAACAACAACAACGACGACAAUAACAACAACAAAACAAGCACCAGUAGUGUUUCAUUUGUCUGAAAGAUAAAUUAAGAGAAAAAUCUUAUUGUAAUAGUUUCCCACCCCUCCAAACCAUUAGGAGUAAAUUUGGUCAGGUAGGUAAGGCUGCCUGAACUUCUAAAACAUGAAUCUAAAAUAUUUAAAGAGAUACACAGAAAAAAAAAGAGAAUAUUUUGUCCAUGCAUUUGAAGCACUAAUGUUAAAAUGGUCUUGAGAGGCCAAACCUACUCAUUCUUGGGACUGGGCUUUAUCUUAGGGAGGGAAAAAGAAAGAAAAGAAAAGAAAAGAAAGGAAAAGAAAAGAAAAGAAAAGAAAAGAAAAGAAAAGAAGAGAAAAGAAAAGAAAAGCCUGAGAACUUGAUCCUCAGCUGAAGCCAACCAAGCUGCACCCAAGUAUCAGGAAGAAUUCCAGGACUUGUCCUUUGCCCAUACCCCAGAGUUACUCCCUAGCUACUUCCUAGCAACAGUUAAUCAAAGAUUAGUCUGAUUGUUCCAGAUGUACUUUCUGACCAUUUGUGAUUGCUCAUGGUCUUGCUUCAGAGCACCCACCUGUCAGCUUACAAUAGUCAUUCCCUUAGAUGCUUGCCAGGCUGGACACCUUUCACUUGUUCCCAUUUCCUAUAAAACCUUGUCCCAAUGAGAGUUCAGGGCUGCUUCACCAAGGCAGUGAGCAAGCCCAAGCUUAAGUUUGUAAUAGAGAGACCCUAAUGUGAUUGCAUUGGAAUCUGCUCCUGGUUUGUCUUUUGGGCUCAUGAAUAAGGCAAGAAUAUCUACAAGUUGAAUGUAAUAUCUGUCAAAAUUAAAAUAUCAAUCAGACCUGAUGGCAUAUGGUACUUGGACCAUAUGCCAAGACCAGCUGGAUUACAGAGUGACUUCAAAUGCAGUCUGGGCAACCCAAUGAGGCCCCUUCUCAAAGUUAAGAUAAAACAAAACAUGGUUAUGACAACAUUGGCCUGGGGGGUGUGUAUUGUUUAGAUCUGAUCCCCCCAAAACACAGGCAACAGAAGCAGUAUACAAGUGGGAGCACAUGCAAGUAGUCCUACAUAGUGUCAGACAUCUAUGGGUUAAGAAAAAAAUGUCUAGGCUGGGCAUGGUGGCACACGUCUUUAAUCCCAGCACUCGUGAGGCAGAGGCAGGCAGAUUCCUGAGUUCGAGGCCAGUCUGGUCUACAAAGUGAGUUCCAGGACAGCCUGGGCUAUACAGAGAAACCCUGUCUCGAAAUCCCCCUCCCCCCAAAAAAGAAAAAAUGUCUAAACCAAAAAAAAAAAAAAAAUGUCUAUAAGACACACACCUAGGGUUGGAGAGAUGGUUCAGCAGUUAAGAGCACUGACUGCUCUUCCAGAGAUCCUGAGUUCAAUUCCCAGCAACCACAUGGUGGCUCACAACCAUUUGUAAUGGAAUCUGAUGCCCUCUUCUGCUGUGUCUGAAGACAGCUACAGUGUACUCACCUACAUAAAAUAAAAAUAAAUCUUAAAAAAAAAAAAGACACAUGGGGGCUGAAGGGAUAGCUCAGUGGUUGGGAGCACUGACUGCUCUUCCAAAGGUCCUGAAUUCAAAUCCCAGCAACCGCAUGGUGGCUCACAACCAUCUGUAAUGAGAUCUGACACCCUCUUAGGUGCCUGAUUUAUUACAUAUAAUAAAUAAAUAAAAAAUAAAAAAACAUUAAAAAAAGACACACACCUAAUAAGAGAUUAAUAUCCAAAAUUUAUUAGGAACUCAACCCUCUAGUAAAACAAAUAGCCCCAAGAAGGAAUGUGCAAAAGGCCUGAACAGCUGGCCCUGUGAAUGUGGCUAACAGAGACAUGAAAAUUAUGGUUGAAACCACUAAUCAUAAUGACUGUGAGGUAUCUCUCCUCACACAGUAAGUGUUAAUAAGGCUGCUGGGGUGUGGGACAUGCUGCUUGGGCAGGCAGAAUGUAGAGAUGCUGUGGGAAAGACCACCUAGAUCCCAAAGCCAACUAGUUGAGUAAGGAGUGUGGCUUUUUGCAUAAAAAAGGACUGGCAUCUUGGAACUGGGUCAGGAGAACAGUCUGAACUUCUGGGCAGGCAGAGAUACAGGCAAAGAGACACAGACAGAUGCAGAAGGGAGACUGAGUGCUGGUCCAGCAUGGCCUUGGUAGGACAGAUUGACAUAGUUCUUGCCCCUGUGACAUGGAUCUCCAAGAGUGUGGAUGGCUGCCACGGGCAUAAGGCUUGUUUGUAUAAUAAUGUACAUAUUUUCACAUUCCUCCAAGGAAUGUCCUCCCUGUUAAUGUUAAUGACUCCAUGAUAAUCUGAGACAGAAUGAGUCUGGGAGGCAAAGGUUUGGCUAAUAUCCCAGCAAAAUGGUAAAUGCUGGGAUCUUCAGGACAGCCCUUCCUUAAGGCUGUGGGAAAGAACUCUGGAAACAUGAGUUAGAAAACAUACAAUUUCUCAACUAUGCAAAAAAUAAGGAUGCACCCGGCGUGGUGGCGCAUGCCUUUAAUUCCAGCACUUGGGGGACAGCCAGGGCUAUACAGAGAAACCCUAUCUCGAACCACCACCACUCCCCAAAAAAGAAUGCAAUAUGAAUAUAUGAGGAGCUUCAUGAAUCUAAGGGAACAGAGGUAGUUGCAUUAAUGAGACAGCUUGUCAGAAAGAUACAAAGGUAACCAGAUACAAAGGGAGGCAGAUUCCUGAGUUCAAGGUCAGUCUAGGACUUUGCAAGUCCAGGCACAGGUGUGGUAGAAAUGUUAAUUUUAUGAUGGGCUCCCACCCAGAUAGUUUAGCAUCUGUGUUUAAUUGUUUGGAUUCUUUUGCAAUUUUAAAGAAAAUGUGUGCUUGUUGUCUCCUAUGGCCUAAGGGGCUGAGGAGUCACAGGAUGUUGAUUCAUAGAAGGGAACCUGGAAUAAAUAACUGAAUUGAUUUGUAAAUAAAAAUCUGGACUUUUUCCAGGACAGCCAGGGCUACACAGAGAAACCCUGUCUCGAAAAACAACAACAACAACAACAACAACAACAACAACAACAAAAAACCCAAACAAACAAAAAAUCUGGACUUUUGGUCUUGCAUGAGAUGCAGAAAGCUAUAUCAGCCAGUUCUUUUUAGAAUUUUUCUUUAGUGAGAGCUGAGUUGUCUGAAGAUCUUUGGAGAGUGAAAACAGCUCUUCAAGAAUUUUUCUAACAGGAUUUCUUGGUCAGAAAUCUUAAGAAUUACUUGGAGAACUGAUACAAGUCUUUUAGAAUGUUUUGUAGCAUCUAUUCAGAGAUGGCUGUCUGAAGAGCCAACAUAGCUCUCUUAGAAUUUUUUUCUUGCUUUCUGAUUUGUAUCAGAAAACCUAAAAAUUAUGUUUAGAACUUUUCUAAAAGUAUUUCUGGCUUAGUCAGAAAAUUCAAGAAUUUAACACAUGAGCUAUGCAGAGAACUUUUAGAAUUUUUAUUAGCAGAGAGAAAGAGUUGUCUCAAACAGAGAGUUUUAGGACAGCAAGAAAAAAUCUGUCUAGAGCAGAACACACACACACACACACACACACACACACACACACACACACAGAGAGAGAGAGAGAGAGAGAGAGAGAGAGAGAGAGAGAGAGAGGGAGAGGGAGAGAGAGAGAGAGAAAGUCUGGAAAGCCAUCUCAGCAGAAACUAGGCCACCAGCUUGGACUCAUGCUUUGACUUUUUGUCAUGAUUUGACUUAGGGGUCAUUCGUUUUUGCCCAAACAACCUUCUCUCAGGAAUCUGGACCUACCUGAGGCUGGUCCUUGGCACUGAAGGGAGACACAAAGAGCUGGGAAGUGUGCAAUGAGAACCAUGUGGAGAGAUGCAAUGGUGGAGAGGUUGGGUUAAAUUAGGGGCUGAGAGACUGCCCAGAAAAAGGCCAACAGCCUUGAACUAUGUAAUUUAAAUUUCUUUAUUAAAUUUCAAACAGGAUCCCAUCAAAGUCCUGCAGUAUCUGGUACACCAAUGUAGGUCAUGAGAUCCAGGUUAAAGACACGAAUUCCAGACACAGUACUCAGAGUACAGAAUCCAGCACGGAGAGAAGACAUCAGCUGGAGUCAGAGAAGCUGGAAUCCCAGACCUCAGAAUUCCAAGAUGCCUUCCAGGCUCAAACCCGGACAUGUGAGCCACUGGCCGGCCUCAACAAAUCGGCGAACCAACUCAGGACCGGAGAAAUGGCAGAGGACAUGGGAAGGAACACUGCUGGUUUGGAUCUCCAUGGAAGAA